UGUGUGGUGCCUCCCCCUUCUCUCUCUUCCUCCUUCUCCAGCAAUGUAAGACAUACCUGCUUCCCCUUCACCUUCUGCCAUAAUUGUAAGUUUCCUGAGGCCUCCCUAGCCAUGCUUCCCAUUAAAAAUAAAUGCUUAGUAGGAGAAUAUUUAAUGACAUGCAAAAUGUUUCUAUUAUAUUGUUGAGAAGCAAAGGCAGGUUACGAAACUGUAUGAAUAGUGAACUCUCAUUUUUGUGAAAAAGGUAUUUAUGUAUUAAAAUAUAUAAAUAGAGCAGG
rnacentral:lncRNA from 1 species